GUCUAUGGCCAUGCCACCCUGAACAAGCCCGAUGUCUGAUCUCGGAAGCUAAGCAGGGUUGGGCCUGGUUAGUACUUGGAUGGGAGAACACCUAGGAAGACCAGAUGCUGUAGGCA
rnacentral:rRNA from 1 species